rnacentral:rRNA from 1 species
UAAGGAAUAUUGGUCAAUGGACGCAAGUCUGAACCAGCCAUGCCGCGUGGAGGAUUAAGGCCCUCUGGGUUGUAAACUCUUUUUAUCUGGGAAGAAAUGUACUUUUUCUUGAGUACUUGACGGUACCAGAGGAAUAAGCACCGGCUAACUCCGUGCCAGCAGCCGCGGUAAUACGGAGGGUGCAAGCGUUAUCCGGAUUCACUGGGUUUAAAGGGUGCGUAGGUGGGCAGGUAAGUCAGUGGUGAAAUCUCCGGGCUUAACCCGGAAACUGCCGUUGAUACUAUUUGUCUUGAAUAUUGUGGAGGUAAGCGGAAUAUGUCAUGUAGCGGUGAAAUGCUUAGAUAUGACAUAGAACACCAAUUGCGAAGGCAGCUUACUACACAAUCAUUGACGCUGAGGCACGAAAGCGUGGGGAUCAAACA